rnacentral:rRNA from 1 species
CAGGCCUAACACAUGCAAGUCGAACGGUGAUGCGGAGCUUGCUCCGCGGAUCAGUGGCGAACGGGUGAGUAACACGUGAGCAACCUGCCCUUGACUUUGGGAUACCAGUUGGAAACAGCUGCUAAUACCGGAUAUGACCUUGUUUUGCAUGAUUCGAGGUGGAAAGCUCCGGCGGUCAGGGAUGGGCUCGCGGCCUAUCAGCUUGUUGGUGAGGUAAUGGCUCACCAAGGCUUCGACGGUGAGCCGGCCUGAGAGGGCGACCGGCCACACUGGGACUGAGAUACGGCCCAGACGCCUACGGGAGGCAGCAGUGGGGAAGAUUGCACAAUGGGCGCAAGCCUGAUGCAGCAACGCCGCGUGCGGGAUGACGGCCUUCGGGUUUAAACCGCUUUCAGGAGGGACGAAGCGCAAGUGACGGGACCGACAGAAGAAGGACCGGCUAACGACGUGCCAGCAGCCGCGG